UACCAGACUCCUACGGGAGGCAGCAGUCGGGAAUAUUGCGCAAUGGAGGAAACUCUGACGCAGUGACGCCGCGUAUAGGAAGAAGGUCUUCGGAUUGUAAACUAUUGUCGUUAGGGAAGAAAAAGGACAGUACCUAAGGAGGAAGCUCUGGCUAACUACGUGCCAGCAGCCGCGGUAAUACGUAGGGAGCGAGCGUUAUCCGGAUUUAUUGGGUGUAAAGGGUGCGUAGACGGGAAUUUAAGUUAGUUGUGAAGCCCCUCGGCUCAACUGAGGAACUGCAACUAAAACUGGAUUUCUUGAGUGCUGGAGAGGAAAGCGGAAUUCCUAGUGUAGCGGUGAAAUGCGUAGAUAUUAGGAGGAACACCAGUGGCGAAGGCGGCUUUCUGGACUGAAACUGACGCUGAGGCACGAAAGCGUGGGGAGCGAACAGGAUUAGAUACCCGUGUAUA
rnacentral:rRNA from 1 species